rnacentral:rRNA from 1 species
AGCAGCCGCGGUAAUUCCAGCUCCAGUAGCGUAUAUUAAAGUUGUUGCAGUUAAAAAGCUCGUAGUUGAAUUUCGGGGUUCUACCGUUGGUCGGGCUUUGUCUGUACUGAUGUGUAGAAUUUCUACCUUCUGGGGAACCAUCAUGUUAUUAAUUUAGCGUGGUGGGAAACCAGGACCUUUACCUUGAAAAAAUUAGAGUGUUCAAAGCAGGCUUAUGUCUGAAUACAUUAGCAUGGAAUAAUAGAAUAGGACGGUGGUCCUGUUUUGUUGGUUUCUGAAUCACCGUAAUGAUUAAUAGGGAUAGUUGGGGGCAUUAGUAUUCAAUUGUCAGAGGUGAAAUUCUUGGAUUUAUUGAAGACUAACUUCUGCGAAAGCAUUUGCCAAGGAUGUUUUCAUUAAUCAAGAACGAAAGUUAGGGGAUCGAAGACGAUCAGAUACCGUCGUAGUCUUAACCAUAAACUAUGCCGACUAGGGAUCGGACGAUGUUAAUUUUUCUUGACUCGUUCGGCGCCUUACGGGA